CUGGCGGCAGGCUUAACACAUGCAAGUCGAACGGGCGUAGCAAUACGUCAGUGGCAGACGGGUGAGUAACGCGUGGGAACGUACCUUUUGGUUCGGAACAACACAGGGAAACUUGUGCUAAUACCGGAUAAGCCCUUACGGGGAAAGAUUUAUCGCCGAAAGAUCGGCCCGCGUCUGAUUAGCUAGUUGGUGAGGUAAUGGCUCACCAAGGCGACGAUCAGUAGCUGGUCUGAGAGGAUGAUCAGCCACAUUGGGACUGAGACACGGGCCAAACUCCUACGGGAGGCAGCAGUGGGGAAUAUUGGACAAUGGGCGAAAGCCUGAUCCAGCCAUGCCGCGUGAGUGAUGAAGGCCCUAAGGUUGUAAAGCUCUUUUGUGCGGGAAGAUAAUGACGUNACCGUAAGAAUAAGCCCCGGCUAACUUCGUGCCAUCAGCCGCGGUAAUACGAAGGGGGCUAGCGUUGCUCGGAAUCACUGGGCGUAAAGGGUGCGUAGGCGGGUUUCUAAGUCAGAGGUGAAAGCCUGGAGCUCAACUCCAGAACUGCCUUUGAUACUGGAAGUCUUGAGUAUGGCAGAAGUGAGUGGAACUGCGAGUGUAGAGGUGAAAUUCGUAGAUAUUCGCAAGAACACCAGUGGCGAAAGC
rnacentral:rRNA from 1 species